UACAGAGGUCCCGAGCGUUGUUCGGAUUCACUGGGCGUAAAGGGUGCGUAGGUGGUGAGGUAAGUCGGAUGUGAAAUCUCCAAGCUCAACUUGGAAACUGCAUUGGAAACUACCUUGCUAGAGGAUUUGAGGGGGGAUUGGAAUACUUGGUGUAGCAGUGAAAUGCGUAGAGAUAUGGAGGAACACCAGUGGCGAAGGCGACUUUCUGGUCUGCAACUGACACUGAGGCGCGAAAGCGUGGGGAGCAAACAGG
rnacentral:rRNA from 1 species